rnacentral:rRNA from 1 species
UACGUAGGGUGCGAGCGUUGUCCGGAAUUAUUGGGCGUAAAGAGCUCGUAGGCGGUCUGUCGCGUCGGCUGUGAAAACCCGCAGCUCAACUGUGGGCUUGCAGCUGAUACGGGCGGGCUGGGAUUCGGUAGGGGAGACUGGAAUUCCUGGUGUAGCGGUGAAAUGCGCAGAUAUCAGGAGGAACACCGGUGGCGAAGGCGGGUCUCUGGGCCGAUAUCGACGCUGAGGAGCGAAAGCGUGGGGAGCGAACAGG